rnacentral:rRNA from 1 species
UACGUAGGGUGCGAGCGUUGUCCGGAAUUAUUGGGCGUAAAGAGCUCGUAGGCGGUUUGUUGCGUCUAUCGUGAAAACCUGCGGCUUAACUGUGGGCUUGCGGUGGAUACGGGCAGACUUGAGUUCGGUAGGGGAGACUGGAAUUCCUGGUGUAGCGGUGAAAUGCGCAGAUAUCAGGAGGAACACCCGUGGCGAAAGCGGCUCUCUGGGACGGUACUGACGCUGAGGCGCGAAAGCGUGGGGAGCAAACAGG